UUCUCAUUUUAAGGUCCCUCGGUGCAGCAUUCUUUCACCACCAUAAAGUUUUCUCGCUACCCUCGAUCCCAAUUCCCUCACACUGCUCAUCUUCAACAAAUAACAUAAUAACAUACGGGUCCACACUCCGCCUCCCUUCCUCUCCACUAUCCCCCCAUUGCAUAUUUCUUGAAUCUGAGGCUCCGAAAGAAAAGUGUGUUGCAGUGUCUAUUGCAGUAUAUCAAUCCUAUUCUCAAGAAUUCACAGCACCACUUGAAAGGGAACCUUUUAUAUCCGUUUCACAAACCCAAUACUACAAUAAUGUCGCUUGGUAAGGAUGUGUCGAACUCAGAGGGCUUGAGCCUCUCGCCGAUGCUAGUAAGGAUGUGUCGAAGCUCCGAGACAGAGACGUAACCAGUGGAGUGCUGGUCAAGGACCUUGUAGGCAUCGUGGAGCUAACCUUCGAGGAACAGAGAAAUCCUGGUCUUUGAGCUUUUGCCGCUGUUUCUCUCUCACUGUCGGCCUUUUGUUAGGAGCUGCUGCAAUUUGUCCAGAAGAUUCUAUGCCUUCUGUGGUUGAUUUUGCAGAUCACAUCAUUGAAGUUCUCAACCAUUUUAGGAUGUGUCGUCGACAAUAUUAAUGGAGCAUUAGUACUUUAGAAACAAUAAUAUGAGUCUACCCUAGAGCAAUACAAUUUACAAGACAGGUAUAGUACAAUAUGUGAAGAUAUUUCUAUACGGUGAGAUUAUGGUUUCCUCAUGCUUAAAAGUGCAUUGGAGUUGAGGAAAGUGUUUUCUCUCUUGGAAGUUUAUGAUCGUGACUUGGUGGCCGUGAAUCAAUCUGUGGAAGAAUGGGAUAAGGCAAUCGUCGUAUACAAAUGUUUGAAAGUUCUAUAUGAUGUUAUUUGCAGUUUUUCAAGAAGCAAAUGUCUUACUGAAAAUGUGUACUUCCUAGAGUUUUGUAACAUUCACCUUAUACUGCUUGAAUUGUAAAAAAGUGAACACACAUAUAUUUGCUUGAUGGCAGUUCAAAUGAAAGAGAAA